rnacentral:rRNA from 1 species
GUAUGACUCUCGACAACGGAUAUCUUGGCUCUUGCAUCGAUGAAGAACGUGCGAAAUGCGAUACUUGGUUUGAAUUGCAGAAUCCCAUGAACCAUCGAGUCUUUCAACGCAAGUUGCGUCCGAAGCCAUUAGGCAGAGGGCACGCCUGCCUGGGUGUCACAC